rnacentral:rRNA from 1 species
GUGGGGAAUAUUGGACAAUGGGCGAAAGCCUGAUCCAGCCAUGCCGCGUGUGUGAAGAAGGUCUUCGGAUUGUAAAGCACUUUAAGUUGGGAGGAAGGGCAGUAAGUUAAUACCUUGCUGUUUUGACGUUACCGACAGAAUAAGCACCGGCUAACUUCGUGCCAGCAGCCGCGGUAAUACGUAGGGUGCAAGCGUUAAUCGGAAUUACUGGGCGUAAAGCGUGCGCAGGCGGAUUUGUAAGACAGUGGUGAAAUCCCCGGGCUCAACCUGGGAACUGCAUCCAAAACUGGCGAGCUAGAGUACGGUAGAGGGUGGUGGAAUUUCCUGUGUAGCGGUGAAAUGCGUAGAUAUAGGAAGGAACACCAGUGGCGAAGGCGACCACCUGGACUGAUACUGACACUGAGGUGCGAAAGCGUGGGGAGCAAACAGGAUUAGAAACCCUAGUAGUCC